AUUGAACGCUGGCGGCAUGCCUUACACAUGCAAGUCGAACGAUAACAGGUUAAGCUGACGAGUGGCGAACGGGUGAGUAAUAUAUCGGAACGUGCCCAGUCGUGGGGGAUAACUGCUCGAAAGAGCAGCUAAUACCGCAUACGACCUGAGGGUGAAAGCGGGGGAUCGCAAGACCUCGCGCGAUUGGAGCGGCCGAUAUCAGAUUAGGUAGUUGGUGGGGUAAAGGCCCACCAAGCCAACGAUCUGUAGCUGGUCUGAGAGGACGACCAGCCACACUGGGACUGAGACACGGCCCAGACUCCUACGGGAGGCAGCAGUGGGGAAUUUUGGACAAUGGGCGCAAGCCUGAUCCAGCCAUGCCGCGUGCGGGAAGAAGGCCUUCGGGUUGUAAACCGCUUUUGUCAGGGAAGAAAACGCUUCUGCUAAUACCGGAGGCUCAUGACGGUACCUGAAGAAUAAGCACCUACAAACUACGUGCCAGCCGCCGCAGUAACAC
rnacentral:rRNA from 1 species